rnacentral:lncRNA from 1 species
CCUCUUCCUCUCAACCCCGUGCUUCCUCCCUGUCACAAACCAAUCCAUGGCUGCCCUUAUCCUCUUCCACACCCUUCUUCUUCACCCACGUUCAAGCUACAUCAAAGCCUCAAUUCAGUUUCUUAAUUAAUUUCUCCUUUCUCUCUCUCUCUCUAAACCUUCAUCAAUUAUCUAUCUCUGUAUCAUUGUUCUAUAUUUUGCCAAUUCUUUAUCCUUUUUAUCAUGAUUCACAUCAAUUGAUAUUAAUUCAAAGGAAUGAAAGUAUUUGGCUUGUGAAUUUUCUUCGACAGAGGGAGAAAAGAGAC